rnacentral:rRNA from 1 species
AGAGUUUGAUCAUGGCUCAGAGCGAACGCUGGCGGCGUGCUUAACACAUGCAAGUCGAGUGCGCAGUUUCCCGCCGCAAGGCGGGGGAUGGGCGCACGGCGCACGGGUGCGUAACACGUGGGUAACNUGCCNUUCGAUGGGGGACAACCCCGCGAAAGCGGGGCUAAUACCGCAUGACAUUCCGUUGAUUUCGAUCGCCGGAAUCAAAGCCCGCAGGGCGUCGGAGGAGGGGCCCGCGCCCGAUUAGCUUGUUGGUGAGGUAAUGGCUCACCAAGGCUAUGAUCGGCAGCCGGUCUAAGAGGACGAUCGGCCACACUGGAACUGAGACACGGUCCAGACUCCUACGGGAGGCAGCAGUGGGGAAUCUUGCGCAAUGGGCGAAAGCCUGACGCAGCGACGCCGCGUGGGGGAUGAAGCCCUUCGGGGUGUAAACCCCUUUCGACCCGGACGAAUGGCCCGCAAGGGAAUUGACGGUACGGGUAGAAGAAGCCCCGGCUAACUACGUGCCAGCAGCCGCGGUAAAACGUAGGGGGCCAGCGUUGCUCGGAAUUACUGGGCGUAAAGGGUUCGUAGGCGGUGCGGCAAGUCGGAAGUGAAAUCUCAGGGCUUAACUCUGAGGCUGCUUCCGAAACUGCCGCGCUCGAGUGCGGGAGAGGCGAGUGGAAUUGCAGGUGUAGCGGUGAAAUGCGUAGAUAUCUGCAGGAACACCCGUGGCGAAGGCGGCUUGCUGGACCGCAACUGACGCUGAGGAACGAAAGCUAGGGGAGCAAACAGGAUUAGAUACCCUGGUAGUCCUAGCCCUAAACCAUCAGGACUUGGGGUGCAUCCCGUUUGGGGUGCGUCCCGGAGCUAACGCGUUAAGUCCUGCGCCUGGGGAGUACGGUCGCAAGGNUGAAACUCAAAGGAAUUGACGGG